rnacentral:rRNA from 1 species
AUUGAACGCUGGCGGCAGGCUUAACACUUGCAAGUCGAGCGGGGUGAUGGUGCUUGCACUAUCACUUAGCGGCGGACGGGUGAGUAAUGCUUAGGAAUCUGCCUAUUAGUGGGGGACAACAUCUCGAAAGGGAUGCUAAUACCGCAUACGUCCUACGGGAGAAAGCAGGGGAUCACUUGUGACCUUGCGCUAAUAGAUGAGCCUAAGUCGGAUUAGCUAGUUGGUGGGGUAAGGGCCUACCAAGGCGACGAUCUGUAGCGGGUCUGGGAGGGUGAUGCGAGCGACUAGGAAUGAGACACGGCCCAGACUCCUACGGGAGACAGCAGUGGGGAAUAUUGGACAAUGGGGGGAACCCUGUUCCAGCCAUGCCGCGUGUGUGAAGAAGGCCUUAUGGUUGUAAAGCACUUUAAGCGAGGAGGAAGCUCUUUUGGUUAAUACCCAAGAUGAGUGGACGUUACUCGCAGAAUAAGCACCGGCUAACUCUGUGCCAGCCGCCGCCGUAA